UACGUAGGGUCCAAGCGUUAUCCGGAAUCACUGGGCGUAAAGCGUGCGUAGGCGGAUGUUUAAGUGAGAUGUUAAAUCGUGUGGCUCAACCAUAUCGAUGCAUCUCAUACUGGGCAUCUUGAGGAAGGCAGAGGCAAGUGGAAUUUGUAGUGUAGCAGUGAAAUGCGUAGAGAUUACAAGGAACACCAAUGGCGAAGGCAGCUUGCUGGGCCUUUUCUGACGCUGAGGUACGAAAGCGUGGGGAGCGAACAGG
rnacentral:rRNA from 1 species